rnacentral:lncRNA from 1 species
CAAAUACGCUUUCGAUCAAAAACAUAUCCAAAACACGUCUGAAUGACCUGAAACUUUUCACAUACAUCCCAAAUGACAUGAAGAAGCUACUGCAACUUCCAAAAUUCCAUUCCAACCCUCAGAUCAAGAACUCGCUAUCAUACCGGAAACUUCAAAAAUACAAACUUCGGCAUUUCAAGCCUAAAUACGCUACGGACUUCAAAAAUACAUUCCGAACACGCUCCCAA